rnacentral:rRNA from 1 species
CCUACGGGAGGCAGCAGUGAGGAAUAUUGGUCAAUGGGCGAGAGCCUGAACCAGCCAAGUCGCGUGAGGGAGUACUGCCCUAUGGGUUGUAAACCUCUUUUGUCGGGGAGCAAAAGCCGGACGUGUCCGGCUGUGAGAGUACCCGAAGAAAAAGCAUCGGCUAACUCCGUGCCAGCAGCCGCGGUAAUACGGAGGAUGCGAGCGUUAUCCGGAUCUAUUGGGUUUAAGGGGUGCGCAGGCGGAUUGUUAAGUCAGCGGUAAAAUCGUGGGGCUCAACCCCAUCCAGCCGUUGAAACUGGGGAUCUAGAGUGUGGGAGAGGUAUGCGGAAUGCGUGGUGUAGCGGUGAAAUGCAUAGAUAUCACGCAGAACCCCGAUUGCGAAGGCAGCAUACCGGUGCUCAACUGACGCUCAGGCACGAAAGCGUGGGUAUCGAACAGGAUUAGAUACCCUAGUAGUC